rnacentral:pre_miRNA from 13 species
CCUUGUCUCUUACCUUGCGCGCUAAUCAGUGACCAGGGCUGAGUAAUUUUAUUCAAUACAGUCAGGUACCUGAAGUAGCGCGCGUGGUUUUAGACC